rnacentral:rRNA from 1 species
UAUAGCGAGAGAGCCCUUCCAGCCCUUUUCAUCUUCGGAAUCCUGCGGAGAAGAGGGAGUGCCUUUGGGAGCCGAGAGACAGGUGCUGCAUGGCUGUCCUCAGCUCGUGUCGAGAGAUGUUGGGUUAAGUCCCGUAACGAGCGCAACCCUUGUCCUUAGUUGCCAGCGAGUAAGGGGGGAACUCUAAGGAGACUGCCGGUGAUAAACCGGAGGAAGGUGGGGAUGACGUCAAGUCAUCAUGGCCCUUAUGGGCUGGGCUACACACGUGCUACAAUGGUCGGUACAAAGGGCUGCAACCCCGCGAGGGGGAGCCAAUCCCAAAAAACCGAUCUAGUCCGGAUUGCAGUCUGCAACUCGACUGCAUGAAGUCGGAAUCGCUAGUAAUCGUGGAUCANCACGCCACGGUGAAUACGUUCCCGGGUCUUGUACACACCCG